CCCUUAGAUGUCCUGGGCCGCACGCGCGUUACACUGAUGCAUUCAACGAGCUUAUAACCUUGGCCGAGAGGCCUGGGCAAUCUUGUUAACGUGCAUCGUGAUAGGGAUAGAUUAUUGAAAUUAUUAAUCUUAAACGAGGAAUUCCUAGUAAACGCAGAUCAUCAAUCUGCAUUGAUUACGUCCCUGCCCUUUGUACACACCGCCCGUCGCACCUACCGAUUGGAUGGUCCGGUGAAGCCUCGGGAUUGUGGUUCUUGCCGCUUUAUUGUGGCGUGACCGCGAGAACUUGUCUAAACCUUAUCAUCUAGAGGAAGGUGAAGUCGUAACA
rnacentral:rRNA from 1 species